CCUACGGGAGGCAGCAGUGGGGAAUAUUGGGCAAUGGGCGCAAGCCUGACCCAGCAACGCCGCGUGAAGGAAGAAGGCUUUCGGGUUGUAAACUUCUUUUCUGGGGGACGAACAAAUGACGGUACCCCAGGAAUAAGCCACGGCUAACUACGUGCCAGCAGCCGCGGUAAUACGUAGGUGGCAAGCGUUAUCCGGAUUUAUUGGGUGUAAAGGGCGUGUAGGCGGGAAUGCAAGUCAGAUGUGAAAACUAGGGGCUCAACCCAUAGCCUGCAUUUGAAACUGUAUUUCUUGAGUGCUGGAGAGGCCAUCGGAAUUCCGUGUGUAGCGGUGAAAUGCGUAGAUAUAAGGAAGAACACCAGUGGCGAAGGCGGAUUGCUGGACAGCAACUGACGGUGAGGCGCGAAAGCGUGGGGAGCAAACAGGAUUAGAUACCCCUGUAGUC
rnacentral:rRNA from 1 species